GGCCCCGGAGGGCAGCAGGAAGGCCAGGGGCUGGGAUGACGGUGACUUUGGGGCGCUCUGUGGCUGGCAAGCCUGGGUGCCUCCAACCGGAGGUGCUUCCUGCCUCCUCACCCUUGGCUUCUCGACAAUUAGUUUUUAGCCAGGUGCAGAAGGCAGAUAGGACAGAAGGCACUUUGGAGCCGGCUUUCACGCACGGAGACAGGGCCCGAGUGGGACUUACGGAACUUGGUCCCCCGUAGCUGACCCUGGGCAGCUCAGCUCCUUGUGUAUGAGGCGGAUCAGGAACUGCACCAAAACAAAGGUGAAAGAAGUUGGGGCCGCUCCCGCCGUCUGACAGCAUGGCUGCAGGAGGGACACCAGGACACUGAUGACCACUGGGAGGCCAGGCUCUGUGUAUCAUCUGCUUUAAUUCCCACAACAAUCUUGUCACUGGGUGCCAUUAUCAUGCCCAUUUUAAAGCUGUGGAAACUGUGGAGCAGAGGUUACGAAACCUGCCCAAGUCACACACAUGACAGGUGACAGGCAGGAUCUAGAGCCACGGAGCUCCACGCUCCUGGCCUUUGUGCUAUCCCGCCCAAGGCUGCAGAGCAAGACUGUCCUGCUUCUGUUUCUGACUUUUUCUAAUCAGAGAGAGAAGGAGCUUUAGACCACGCAUAUUUAGAAAAGAUGGGAAGACCCAAACCUCUCUGAUAACUCAGGAAUGCAUGGGAGAAAGUUCCACCAGUGUUUGGACACAACCACAGAGAUCUGCAUUCAAGGUGGAUUGGACUAAAAAUAGGCCGACUUACCAGUAAGGCACAGGCAUCUGCAAACAUCAGCAUGUAAAACACAUUGCUCCAGCCGGACGGGGAGAGGAGCCCAGCCAGCAGGGGGCCCAGGGCUGCUCCUGAAAUCAGGCAAAUGGACACACAUGGUGCUGUUUAGAGAAAAUCCCAGCACAUAACUAGCAGCCACAGAGAAUGGGGCUCAACACCUCACUCACAAUGAAAGGAACACAUAUGGAACUACACUACCUCAUCCUGGCCUAUCAGAUUGGGAGCGGGUACAAGGCCUAGUAUAGGUUGAGCCUUCCAAAUCUGAAAACCUGAAAUCCAAAAUCUCCAGAAUUUGUAACUUUUUGAGUGCUGACACUCAAAGGAAAUGCUCACUGGGGCAUUUCAGAAUUGGGAUUUGAGAUGCUCAACCAGUGUAAUGCAAAU
rnacentral:lncRNA from 10 species